AUUGAACGCUGGCGGCAUGCUUUACACAUGCAAGUCGAACGGUAACAGGCCGCAAGGUGCUGACGAGUGGCGAACGGGUGAGUAAUGCAUCGGAACGUGCCCAGUCGUGGGGGAUAACUACUCGAAAGAGUAGCUAAUACCGCAUACGAUCUAUGGAUGAAAGCGGGGGACCGGAAGGCCUCGCGCGAUUGGAGCGGCCGAUGUCAGAUUAGGUAGUUGGUGGGGUAAAGGCUCACCAAGCCAACGAUCUGGAGCUGGUCUGAGAGGACGACCAGCCACACUGGGACUGAGACACGGCCCAGACUCCUACGGGAGGCAGCAGUGGGGAAUUUUGGACAAUGGGCGCAAGCCUGAUCCAGCAAUGCCGCGUGCAGGAAGAAGGCCUUCGGGUUGUAAACUGCUUUUGUACGGAACGAAACGGCUCUGGUUAAUACCCGGGGUUAAUGACGGUACCGUAAGAAUAAGCACCGGCUAACUACGUG
rnacentral:rRNA from 1 species